rnacentral:tRNA from 1 species
GUUGUAGUUCAGUGGUAGAAUGCUUGCCUAGCACAUGUGAGGCACUGGGUUCAAACCUCAGCACCACA